UACGUAGGUGACCAGCGUUGUCCGGAUUUACUGGGCGUAAAGAGCGCGCAGGCGGUCGUUCAAGUCGAGUGUGAAAGCCCCCGGCUCAACUGGGGAGGGUCAUUCGAUACUGAUCGACUUGAAGGCAGGAGAGGGAAGUGGAAUUCCCGGUGUAGUGGUGAAAUGCGUAGAGAUCCGGAGGAACCCCAGAGGCGAAGGCGGCGCUCUGGCUCGCAACUGACGCUCAGACACGACAGCAUGGGGAGCGAACGGG
rnacentral:rRNA from 1 species